AUACUUCACAGAUGUAUUUUCCAGAUGAAGAUACAAGUUUGUCAUAAAAUUAUGCCCAGCCAAAGGAAAUGAAUUAUUUUAACUGCAACAGGAUAGAGACACCUUAAGCACACAUAUAUACAUGCUUGAGGAAGCCACAACAUAAGCACCUCCAACGGGACGACUUCAAAAGUCUGAGGAUUACUGGGAGAGAAGAAGAAGGACAAUCGGGCUGAAAGAGCGGGACCAUGCCGGGCUGUCAGAUCCAGACUGGGUUUGUGCCGGUUCUGUUGGUCUGUUUCUUUCUGCUGUUGGCAUCUGGUUCAGGGAAUGCACGCAUGAUCAGGAAGAGGGGACUCAACCAGAAGCAGGAACAGAGGAUCUGGGAGAGAUAAGCAGAAAGACAUAAACAGCAGAUCAUCAGGGGACCUAUUCCAGACAGGAAGCGCACACUACAACUUCCUCUCUGCCUCAUCCAGAGACACUUGGGAAAAUAU